rnacentral:rRNA from 1 species
UACGUAGGGGGCUAGCGUUGUCCGGAAUCAUUGGGCGUAAAGCGCGUGUAGGCGGCCCGGUAAGUCCGCUGUGAAAGUCGGGGGCUCAACCCUCGGAUGCCGGUGGAUACUGUCGGGCUAGAGUACGGAAGAGGCGAGUGGAAUUCCUGGUGUAGCGGUGAAAUGCGCAGAUAUCAGGAGGAACACCAAUGGCGAAAGCGGCCACCUGGACUGUACCUGACGCUGAAACGCGAAAGCUAGGGGAGCGAACGGG